UUGCAUUCAUAUAUUGCAUUUCAUUACCUUAUUAUGUCUAUAUUAUAUUUGUGUAUCAAAAAUCUAGAAAAUUCUUGCAAAUUUUGAACUUUUUGAAAAGGCUUUUAACUUAGAAUUAUAACUUAAACCUUGAUGAGCUAAUGAUUAGACUCUCUGGGAAAGAGGAAUGAAUGUAACUGAAUGGGCAAAAAGGCUUCAAUAUGUUG
rnacentral:misc_RNA from 1 species